UACGGAGGGAGCUAGCGUUGUUCGGAUUUACUGGGCGUAAAGCGCACGUAGGCGGAUCGUUAAGUCGGGGGUGAAAUCCUGGAGCUCAACUCCAGAACUGCCUUCGAUACUGGCGAUCUAGAGUCCGGAAGAGGUGAGUGGAACUCCUAGUGUAGAGGUGGAAUUCGUAGAUAUUAGGAAGAACACCAGUGGCGAAAGGCGGCUCACGUGGUCCGG
rnacentral:rRNA from 1 species